rnacentral:rRNA from 1 species
AUUGAACGCUGGCGGCAGGCCUAACACAUGCAAGUCGAACGAGUGGCGGACGGGUGAGUAAUGUCUGGGAAACUGCCUGAUGGAGGGGGAUAACUACUGGAAACGGUAGCUAAUACCGCAUACCAUCGGAUGUGCCCAGCUGGGAUUAGCUAGUAGGUGGGGUAAAGGCUCACCUAGGCGACGAUCCCUAGCUGGUCUGAGAGGAUGACCAGCGAAACUGGAAGUGUGAAACGGUGGAGACUUGUACGGGAGGCAGCAGUGGGGAAUAUUGCGCAAUGGGCGCAAGCCUUAGAUAGGCAUGCCGCGUGGAUGAAGAAUGCCUUCGGGUUGUAAAGUACUUUCCGCGGGGAGGCGGUACCCGCAGAAGAAGCACCGGCUAACGCCGUGCCAGCAGCCGCGGUAAUAC